UACGUAGGUGGCAAGCGUUGUCCGGAUUCACUGGGCGUAAAGCGCGCGCAGGCGGUCUUCUACGUCUGGGGUGAAAACCCGGGGCUCAACCCCGGGACUGCCUUGGAUACGGGAAGACUUGAGGAUCGGAGAGGCAAGGGGAAUUCCACGUGUAGCGGUGAAAUGCGUAGAGAUGUGGAGGAACACCUGUGGCGAAAGCGGCGCACUGGACCAUAACUGACGCUGAGGCGCGAAAGCUAGGGGAGCAAACAGG
rnacentral:rRNA from 1 species